UGGGGAAUUUUGGACAAUGGGGGAAACCCUGAUCCAGCCAUCCCGCGUGUGCGAUGAAGGCCUUCGGGUUGUAAAGCACUUUUGGCAGGAAAGAAACGUCAUGGGUUAAUACCCCGUGAAACUGACGGUACCUGCAGAAUAAGCACCGGCUAACUACGUGCCAGCAGCCGCGGUAAUACGUAGGGUGCAAGCGUUAAUCGGAAUUACUGGGCGUAAAGCGUGCGCAGGUGGUUCGGAAAGAAAGAUGUGAAAUCCCAGAGCUUAACUUUGGAACUGCAUUUUUAACUACCGGGCUAGAGUGUGUCAGAGGGAGGUGGAAUUCCGCGUGUAGCAGUGAAAUGCGUAGAUAUGCGGAGGAACACCGAUGGCGAAGGCAGCCUCCUGGGAUAACACUGACGCUCAUGCACGAAAGCGUGGGGAGCAAACA
rnacentral:rRNA from 1 species